UUACAUGCGAUGAAGAGAAGAGUAAAUAAAAUGAAUUCUUCACAGAGAGCUCCAGUAGCUGAAAAGGAGUAAGAAUUCUUUAUUGAACCAAGCCUCUGAGUAUUACAUCGGAACCUUUAAAAAGGGGGUGGUGUAACGGGAGCUCCCGUUAUUGAGCUAAGGUAUAAGCAUUUCUAAAAUGCCGUACCUGAUAAGAUUAAUAUGGUGACAUAUUAAUAAACUGGGGUGGCACCGCGAUGAUAAAUCUCGCCCCCAAG
rnacentral:ncRNA from 1 species